rnacentral:rRNA from 1 species
AGCAGCCGCGGUAAUUCCAGCUCCAAUAGCGUAUAUUAAAGUUGUUGCAGUUAAAAAGCUCGUAGUUGAAUUUCGGGGUUAGUAGGCUGGUCAUGCCACCGGUAUGUACUGGUCUUACUGAUUCCUCCUUCCUGAUGAACUGUAAUGCCAUUAAUUUGGUGUUGCAGGGAGUCUGGACUGUUACUUUGAAAAAUUAGAGUGUUUAAAGCAGGCUAACGCUUGAAUACAUUGGCAUGGAAUAAUGAAAUAGGACGUUCGAUCCUAUUUUGUUGGUUUCUAGGAUUGACGUAAUGAUUAAUAGGGAUAGUUGGGGGCAUUAGUAUUCAAUUGUCAGAGGUGAAAUUCUUGGAUUUAUUGAAGACUAACUACUGCGAAAGCAUUUGCCAAGGAUGUUUUCAUUAAUCAAGAACGAAAGUUAGGGGAUCGAAGACGAUCAGAUACCGUCGUAGU